AUGCAUUUGCAGCUUAAUUCUGCAGUACUAUCCCCUUACCUCUAUAUCCAUGGUUCAAUAUCCAGUGUUCUCAAGAAUAUUCCCUGGAAGUGUUUGUGGGCCUCUCUUGGUUCUCCACUGUUGUUCUAUGACAAUGAUGGGCAACCUUUUGCGCUUGAUAUGUCAAAAUUCACCAAAAAAUCUAGCAUGACUUGGGUGGUGUGUCACUUCGAGAAAAAAACCCAUAAUUUUGCAUUAAUAAUAAUAAUAACUUUAUUUUUAUACUCCGCCCCAUCUCCCCAGAGGGACUCGGAGCGGCUUACAUGGGGCCAUGCCCGACAACAAUACAACAGCAGCAAUAAAACAAUAAAACAAAUAUCGAGAAUAAAACAAAUGUCGCAUCAAUAAAACAUCAACAUCAGUAAACAGUCAUAAAAGUCGGCAUACAGCAUAAAAUGAUUAAAAACGGGAAGGCUAAAAACAUGGAUCUGGGCCAGAGUGCAGAAAACUUCAACAUGGGAGAGGUAGUUUCACAGUUAAAACAGUCAAUAAAGUGCAAAAUAAUCAUGGCCAGGCAUCCUAUUGUUAGAUGGGCACUUGUUCUUGUUUACAGUUUGACCAUGUUUUAAGGCAGUAGUCACCAUAGGUUGAUGGGCGUUGUUCUGAGUUUGAAAUUCUUGUUUUAUAUGCUAUUGGUUUUAUUUUUGAAUUGUACUCUAUGUUUAUUUUAUGUGGUGUUUUAGGUACUUUGUGUCAUAUGUAAGCUGCCCCAAGUCCCUUUGGGGAGAAGGAGGUGGGGUACAAAAAUUAAGUUGUUAUUAUUAUUAUUAUUAUUAUUAUUAUUAUUAUUAUUAUUAUUAUUAUUUCUUACUUCUAAUUUCACUUUGGAAUCCAAAUUAGAUCAGAUAUUGGCAUUAUUUGAAUCUUUAACAUCUGUUUUCUGAAACAGAUGUAUGAUAUUGAGACCUCCAUCCAAAUGGAGAAAUGUAAAAACAUCUUGUUUUUACUGCAGAAAUGUGCAUUUUUAAUUUUUUUUAAAUGAAAAAACAAAACAAUUACUGGGAAGCAGAAUUUUUUUAAAAAAAUCUGGUAUAACAGUACUUUAAAAAAUCAAUAUAGUAAUAUCAACAACAGGAAAACACACUAAAUGUAGAAAAACAGAAUACAUAUGAUCUUUAAGCCACCCCUUUCAGUGGGAAACCCACAAUCUUUUCAAUCACUUCUGGUCAUACAAACCUCAUGAUUUGUUAACAGAAGGUGAGCUGCCAACAACCUGGAGAUGAGUGUACUAUCACACAUCAAAACCCCUGGGGCACAAAGAAAUAAGGGAUGAAUGAAGUCGAUUGUUGCUCUAUUUUAGAAAAGCUACUGUUGGUAGAUGCCUAUGGAUUGCCUACAAAAGGGACCAUGCAUCAUAUGAUAGGAACUGUAGGAACCAGUACGCAAAGGGUGUCAGAAACUAGCUAUAUGACUGUGUGAUAAGGUCCUAUACAAUUAGCAUUUUUAAAAUGCAGCAAUUAAGUGCAACAAUGCACUUAAUGUCACAUCUACUUUCACUCAUGGAGAUGCCAGGCUUGGGUUGUAAUCUGGAUCUCUGCCUACGCACUUUGCUUCCAAAUCGAACAAUGUCUUUAUUUCUCUUUUUUCUCAAAAUAUAUGUUGUCUCUCUUAAACUCCUUGUUUUUCAUCUUCUCAUUUCACUUCUACCAAGAAAUGGCAGGUGAUAUCUUCCACUCUUUUGAGGUCAUGCAAUUCAGGCAAAUUUUGUCCAAGCAGCAGGUUUUUAUUUGUGAAAUGUAAAUAAGAAAAUUUAAUAUGCUGCAAAUCCCCAAUAAAAGCCUGAGUAAAAAAUUUAUUUCGGUUGCUUGUGUUAACACUUAAGACUGGCAGCUUCUGCUCCUGCAACAAACAUUAUGCUUGUUUUUAACAAGCCCAUCAGUUCUAUCACAAACCUGAUUGCUGCUUUAAUUUCUAAAGUAUCUGGCUCUAACAACAAAAAGCGCUAAGCAUUCAAGACACCCUUGUCUCAUGUUUUGUGGAAUCAAGCAAAGUCUGUCUAGGAAGUUGAAGAACAGAAAACUACUUCACCUCUAACUCAAGCAGCGCUCAAAGUCACCUAGAGUUUUACAUGAAAAAAGGAAAAUUUAUUCUUUUGUUCUGUACAGCUUGAUGGGAGAGAAAAGCACCAUUUUACACCUUUGCCUCUUUGCCUUUCAGUAGAAAUUAUCAGGAGCUAUAAAAUGUUUCAACCAUUUUUUUCCAAAAAGAGAAGGGGCUCCAGGUCCAAUAAAUUUCCUAGUACAUCGGUCUUAUUGUGUUGCCAUUCUGGAGCCAAUGUGUGUGUGUGUGUGCACACAAGGGUGUGUGUAUAGACCAUUUUUCCUUCCUUGUGGUUUGUGGUAAGCUUUACUAACACAUAAUUGGUAACAAUUCUCUAGAGAGAGCAUUACAAAUGUACAUAUCUGCACGAACCCCUCUUCAUUCUAAUGGUAUAUAACUGAACUGCUCCAGACCAAAAUAACUAUGAGGAAUGUAUUGUUGAAGGUUUUCAUAGUCGGAAUCACUGGGUUGCUGUGAGCUUUCCUCUGAGAAUGCCUGCCAUAGAUGUGGGCAAAACAUCAGGAGAGAAUGCUUCUGGAACAUGGCCACACAGUCUGGAAAACUCACAGCAAAAUAUCAGGAGAGAAUGCUUCUGGAACAUAGCCAUACAGUCUGGAAAACUCACAGCAACCCAACUAUGAGGAAUGUUUGCAACCUGUGAGGUUUCUUAUUUAAGGAAAAAAUACAUAUUGAGGAGGUUCUAUAAAAAGGUAAAGUAAGAAGAAAGAAGGUAGACAUGCAUAAAAUUAUACAGAAUGGUUGAGAACCACUGAAUUGAUGAAGCUCCAUUGGAUGUUAUGUCAAGGGAACAUGCACUUCCUGCACUUGCCUGCUCUUUUUUCGACUCAUUAUUUUUUAUUUUGUAAAGAAACAUAAUACAUUGAAAGUGGUGGAACAAUAUAUUGAUAGGAAAGUGAGGGAGUUGGAAGGGUUCUGAAAAUAGGUGACAAGAGAAAACCGGUGGGGGGGGGGGGGGAGAAAGAAAGAAAGAAAAGAAAAGAAAAUAAUAAUAAUGAUAAUUUAAAAAAUUGAUUGACUUCCCAUCUUGACCUUGGAGUUUUCUCUUUCGUUGAUUACAUAUUGGUAUUUUCCCUUAGU
rnacentral:lncRNA from 1 species